GUGUGUCUGAAAGAAAACAUCUUGAUAGUUAGAAAUUUGACUCGAAAGAAUGGGGAAAGAGGGCUUCAGCUGAAGUUCCUGCAGGGUGGCAGAGUGGCAAAAGCACAAUCAUAUUAAAGAAGCAGAAACCUCUUCCCUAGAAAUGAGAGUAUGCAAUUUUUUAUUAUUCCAACAGUGCCCUUUACAUAGCUGUAGGCAAUGGUACGGAUUCUGCAAGCAUGACUAUUGAUUGUAGGAGGUGGUCUUCCCAACAUUUCUACAUAUAUUGCAGAAUGUUAAUUUAUAAGCAUGCUUCCAAAUUCUUUAGUAUAUGCCUUGUGUGCGUAUUAGGCUUUCAAGCAUGUCAAACUGUACACACUGUUGUUGGUAAGUAGUUUAAAUUAAUGUCUUACUUUUAAAUUUAUGAAGCUACAAAGACUUCCUGGAUCUUUCUGAGGGAUGCUUAUCAAUUUCCUUAUCGAGUUGUGAAAAUCAAACUGAGCUUGAAUUCAAUUCAUUUGAUUCCAGUGACAUUUAUUGAUGUGAAGUGUAAUUAAAAAACAUUGUCUUGUAAGACUGUCAGUUCCCUGGUAUGCCCUUUUCAAACUCUAAUUUACAAGAACAAUAUAAUUUACCUUGCACACCAGCAGACCAUAGCAAGUUUUAGUGACUGAAAUAUUAUUCUGUUCCAGAAAACAGCAGAUCACAAUUAAGAAUGACGUGUGCCUUGUGCUUCGAAUUUUUUGCAGUAAUGAUUGGUUGUUUCGGCUAUCAGUGCUGCAUACAAACGCUUACAUGAUUUUAGAAAAUAGGAGUGCACUGUUACUAGACAGUAAACAAAUUAAUUAAACGUGGAUGUCUGUUUUGUAGAAUCCCAUUUGUAUUUUUUAGUACAAUAUUGUUCACAAGCAGACCUUCACCAUAGCAAUGUUUGUGUAUAAUUAUUAGUGGUAUGCAAAAGAUUCGCAUGAAUCCCCAGUCAAGAACUGAAGUUACAGCGGAAUAUCUCAGUUGGUUAGGACGUGGUACUGUUAACGCCAAGUUUGCAGGUUCGAUCCCUGUAGGGACAGCUGCAUAUUUGUGCAUUGUAGGGGGUUGAAGUAGAUGAUCUUCAGGGUCCCUUCCAAUUCAGUAAUUCUAGAAUUCUAAUUCUAUGAAUUUAAAAGCAGAGACAUCGCCAACAAAGGUCCGUAUAGUUAAAGCCAUGGUUUUCCCAGUAGUGAUGUAUGGAAGCGAGAGCUGGACCAUAAAGAAGGCUGAUCACCAAAGAAUUGAUGCUUUUGAAUUAUAGUGCUGGAGGAGACUCUUGAGAGUCCCAUGGACUGCAGGAAGAUCAAACGUAUCCAUUCUUAAGGAAAUCAGCCCUGAGUGCUCCCUGGAAGGACAGAUCGUGAAGCUGAGGCCCCAAUACUUUGGCCACCUCAUGAGAAGACUCGACUCCCUGGAAAAGACCCUGAUGUUGGGAAAGAAUGAGGGCACAAGGAGAAGGGGACGACAGAGGACGAGAUGGUUGGACAAUGUUCUCGAAGCUACCAGCAUGAGUUUGACCAAACUGUGGGAGGCAGUGGAAGACAGGAGUGCCUGGCAUGCUCUGGUCCAUGGGGUCACGAAGAGUCGGACAGGACUAAACAACUAAACAACAAACAACAACAAUAAUUCUAUGAAGUGGGGCAGCUUUGGACAGAUUCGGGACUUGCUGGAGCUGAAGUGGGUAUUUCCAUGGUACCUUGAAGCAGGGAGCUUUUGGAAGAUUUAGAUUGUUGGGCCUCAGUAAUUUUCUGCCUUCAUAAGUGGGCCCUGGAGGUAGAGAUUUUGAGAACCCUCCUUGAUCUAGGACAAAUGAAGCCAACAUGGGGACCUCCAGAUGUUGUGGAUUGCAAUUCCCCAUAUCUCUUAUCAUUGACCAUGCUGGCUGAGACAUCCAAAACAUCUGAAGGGUACUUAUAAAUGACUCCCCCUGCUCUAACAUUUGAACUGGACAAUUGGGAUUUAACUGGUGUCCCCCCCCCCCAAAAAAAUCUGAGCCAUAGGUUGCAAUCUGAUACUGUUUUGGCAUCAUCUGGUUUCUGUCCGUGCCAUCUGAAAAGGGAGAGUAGAUUAGGCUGGUUGAAGUCGCCGGAUUUUGACAAAGAUCAGUAUGCUGGAAAACCCAUUUGCCACAGCCAGCCCAUCUAUAAUUCAUUUUUGUGUAGAUUCCCUCUCCGCAUGCACUCUGCUUUGUUUCUGUGAAAAUAAGCUGAAAAGUAAUUAAAAUGCCUGUCUCUCAGGUCUCUUAAUUAAAAAAAAUAUAUAGUGUGUUUCAGCAGUUGAAAGAUGCGCCGAGAUCUCCCCGAGGCUCCCUCUUGCUAUAAAAAGAGCUUUCUAUUUUCGUUUUACUUCUCUCUGAAAAAGAACCACCUACCCUGCUUAUUCAUCCCCCGUUGGAAUUUACUGAUCCAGUUGCAAGCCUGAGCCAUUUAAAAUUAGCAGCCAUGCUCUAUCAGCCUUUAGGGUGCACUCCUUCAUUUAAUAAAAGGACACUGUCAGCUUGGCACAUUACUAAAGCACUCAGCCAGAAUAACCCUCGCACAAUGUCAAUACCUUUUUUAUUUUUAAUUUUCAACUUUUUCACAUAAAAUUAUUUUUGGCAAUGAGAACCGGAGGAGAUGAAACACGUUUUCAUUUCCCCCCCUUCCCUCAGCAAAUUCUAACUUUUCCCCCCCCUGCCUUGCUGGGCGAAAUGAUAUGCUGAUUUUCUCUGAUCUUCCUUCAAGCUCCAGGUUUUGGAAUAUGUAAGGAUAUUCUCCUGCUAGCGAGACACUCAGGGAGAAUUUGCAUAGCAAAUUGGAACAUCUGUCGGAUUUAUACAUUUGCCUCUUAUAGUAGUUCUCUUAUUAAUUAACCAUUGCAACUCAGGUCUGCAGGGACUUGCCUGUGUAAAAGAGUGAUAAUGGCGAUAUGGGGCCUUUAAUAUCUAUUUUAUACAUCCAUAUUCCAUCCUAUUUGGCCAAGAAUUGUAAUGAUGGGUGAUAAUUACCAUUUUAUAGUAAGAUGUAUUGGUGUCUAGCAAAAUACCAGUCAUUAUGGGUCUGUACAAUGUUCUCUUAUAACUCUGGGAAAUAGUAACUGCAGCUUUUGGCAGGGGAAGAAUCCUAUGGAUUAUAAUUUGCAGUUUGUCCAGGAGUGCUAAAUCACAAGUUCAGGUUCACAUAUCAAGCUAAGCCAGACUUGCAGCCAAGAAGCUGUGAUCUCCACUCUCAGAGCCUGUAUGCUUUCGGGUUUAAUGUGAUGUGCAAACCAGGCCAUUUCCUAGUGGCAUGCAGAUAUUAUAAUGCAAAUAGUACUAAUUUCUUCUCCUCCUCGUGAAUGCUGAAGGAACAAAAACAGGUCAUUCAUCGCCUCCCUAUUUUGGUUUUAAAAUUCUGGCAACCAUCUAUACAUCAAAUAUAAUGAUAGGAUAAGCUCUGGCAUUGUAGUGAACAAAAUGGGUCUUAAAAUGUAAUUUAAUACUCACUUGCACCUGUAUUAGGGCAACAGCUUAUCCAUCAUAACUGCUGGCUUAUGAAAAUAGAAACAGAGAAAACCCUACAAUGCUAAAUGAGUGCAGAAUUUAUUGCAUGGGUUUUGUGAAAGGUCAUACCACAUAAUGUGUUGGGGUUUUUUUUGUCUGAGUACAAAUAAUUAUAUGCUUUUGGAAUUUGUCCAGUAAAUUCAAGUUAAGUAGAUAGUCAAGCUACUGCACUAACAGCUCUCAUAGAAGAGAUGGCAUGGUACCCCAUCCUUGGUAUAGACCAGGGUUUCCCAAACUUGAGUUUCCAGCUGUUUUUGGAUUACAAUUCCCAUCAUCCCUGACCACUGGUCCUGCUAGCUAGGAAUGAUGGGAGUUGUAGUCAAAAAACAGCUGGAGACCCAAGUUUGGUAAACCUUGAUAUAGACAAAUAUAUAUCUUUAUUGAAUUGAAUUAAUUGCUUGUGAUGAAUUGGUUGCUGUUUGCUUUAUAUGCUGUUGCGUUUGAUAUUAUAGUCAUUGCAAUGGUUAUUUUUAAUGCUGUUGUGAUCAUUGUGAGCCGCUUUGAGCUCAAAAUUUGUUGUUGGAAAAGCAGGAUACAAAAUGUGGGAGGGUAGUAGCACACACAGAAAAACCAAGGAUGAUAGGCGUGACAUAGGAG
rnacentral:lncRNA from 1 species